UACGUAGGUGGCAAGCGUUGUCCGGAUUUACUGGGCGUAAAGAGCGCGCAGGCGGUCGUUCAAGUCGCGUGUGAAAGCCCCCGGCUCAACUGGGGAGGGUCACGCGAUACUGAUCGACUCGAAGGCAGGAGAGGAUCGCGGAAUUCCCGGUGUAGAGGUGAAAUUCGUAGAUAUCGGGAGGAACACCAGUGGCGAAGGCGGCGAUCUGGGAAGAUACUGACGCUGAGGUGCGAAAGCGUGGGGAGCGAACAGG
rnacentral:rRNA from 1 species